AACUUUCAGCAACGGAUCACUAGGCUCUCGCAUCGAUGAAGAACGCAGCGAAAUGCGAUACGUAAUGUGAAUUGCAGAAUUAAGUGAAUCAUCGAAUCUUUGAACGCAUCUUGCGCUCCUUGGUAUUCUGAGGAGCAUGCCUGUUUGAGUGUCUUUAAAUUCUCGACCGCUUCGAUUUGUUUGAAGUGGAUCGGAUGUGGCUGUUGCCCUCCAAGUAUUUGGUGAAGGCUCGGCUUAAUGAUAUAAUGCUGGUCUAAUGAAACUAGCUAAUUCGAUGUCAUACACAUGAUCCAUCGAAGAUGUUUCAGUGGCCGGACCCCAGAUUUGGGGAACCCCUUGAAAUCUAGACCUCAAAUCAGGUAGGACUACCCGCUGAACUUAAGCAUAUCAAUAAGCGGAGGCU
rnacentral:misc_RNA from 1 species